CAUACGGCUCGUCCCCGCCCCCCCCCUCUGCGCUGAAAGCAGUUACAGGUGUUGAACGAGGCCGACUCUUGCAUCAGAUUUAACUCGCCUCACAUCCAGUUAGCAGACAUGAUCAUCAGACUGGGCAGGCUGACACCUGGAUACUUCCGUCUCCUCCAGAGGCAAGUUGCAGGUGAGGUGCAGACACAGCCACAAGACCGUGCCAUCAACCAGAUAGCCAUGAUGCUGGCCAUCAUGGGCCUGAGUUUAUCUUACUACAGUGCCAGACAAAUGACAGAGAAGGUCAACGCCCAGCCUGCACCCUGAAGAGACCUGGUGCAGUUUGUUGAGAUAAUGGGUGAUCCAGUGACAAAUGAUGGCGGUGGAGUGAGGAAGUAAAAGUUGAGACAUAGCACUGUCUCUCAGGACCGCACCUUUCUCACCUCAGACAUUGUCACACUUAAACACUGAAUAUUUGGGAUCCCUCACUUACUAUGUGCAAAACUCUAACCUGUCGCUGAAUGUUUUCUACUCUUUCUAUUGCCAGGACUUUCAGGGAUUUGUGGGGUUGGCUCACUUUGGGUCGUGGAUAGGACUAUUUUCUUUAGACUGGUUUGGGUGGGUGAUCAAAACCUUGAAAGCCAAUUGGGUCUGACUGCUAUUUACCAGGCUAGAUGCUUGCAAGAUGCUGUCAGUAUUGUUCUGGGCUAAAAAAAAAAAGCAACCUAAACUGUGAAACAAUCUUCUUCAGAAGGGAUUCAGUGAUAUGAAGAGUAAUGCCUUUUUAAGGGAAUGCUAACUGCAACUGAGAUUUAACUUGUCAUGAAGGGAAUGUGAAUAAAGGGGAUGAAAAUGUA